rnacentral:misc_RNA from 1 species
CUUCAAUGAGUUCAGAUAUUUGAUUUAUUCAUGCACGUAAAUGUAAUCAAAUGUAUCCUUUCCAAAUCCAAAUUUCAGAAAUUUCUUAAAUGUAAAUAUACAGUUUUCAUAUAUCGUUGAAUUGAACCUCAAUAGAUUUUGAGGGAAAGCUACACUUACUUGCGGGAAGAAUGUGUCCAACUACUGGGAAAUACGCUUUCGAGGCUGGUAAUCCCACGUGCUCCAACCAGCAAGAACUUCUAAUUCCAGCAGCAACCCUUCAAUCUUUGCAACUAAGCUCUGAUGCCACUGCUGUGCCAUUGUAAAUUCAAAUUCUAUAAAGGAUAUUUUCCCAGUAUAUGCAAGUCCAUAGCCAAAUUGCAACCUCUUUGAGUUCAGUUUUCCUGCUUCUUUAAGUUAAUCCAGUCAAAUGGGUAUCGUAAUUAUCUACCUUCCAAACAAUUGUCUUCUUAAUGCUGUAACUAUUCUAUGGAGAACCUCAUAGUUUUCAGCAAGAUAACGAGCUGCAUGUUUGUCACUGAUAACAUCUCCUUCAAUAAGGUAGUUGCUUCCUUCUUUGAUGAUGACUUGAUGUUCACAAGCCAACUCCAAGAUCUCAGAUUCACAGCAAAAGCCUCUCCCAAACUGUAUCCCAAUAUCAGCUUUUUUCAUAGCAGGCGCCAAUUUAUUUUUCACCACUUGCACAGACACUGCAAGGCCACUUACCUUAUCCUCAGUCUUGAGCAAUCCUGUUUUGACCAUUCUCAACCGCACAGCAGAAUAGAAUUUUAAGGCAUUUCCCCCGCAAGUGUCCUCACCCACACAUACUAGACCUUGUCCUGACUUUAAAUUUGAUCUAGUCUGAUUAAGAAAUACAAUAAGUGUUUUAGACUGGCAUAAAGAAUAAUGGAUUUUCCGGAGUCCUUGGCUAAUUAUUCUUGAUUGCAUGUCCUCCAUCCUUAUUAUCGAAGUAUCAAGCUCACGUUGGGGGACAAGAGCAGCUACACUAUCAACCACAAUCACAUCGACAGACCCACUCUUGGUCAGUGUGUCAACUACACUCAGCAACCUUUCAGCUGAAUCUGGAGGUGAAAUAAGAAGAUCUUCUGUGUUUACUCCCAUUGAUUCUACAAGUGAAGCGUCCAAUGCAUUCUCAGCAUCAAGAUAUGCACAAUAUCCACCCAGUUUUUGAGCUUCCUUGAUAAUAUGAAGUGCAAGCGUUGUCUUCCCAGAAGCUUCUCGCCCAUAGAUCUCAAUCAUUCUUCCCUUAGGUAAUCCUCCAAUGCCAAGAGCGAGAUCAAGCUUCAAUGAGCCUGUAGGUAUCACAGGAGCAUGCCGUGAGCUGAAAAACCGUUGCAAAGACAACAUAGACUCUCUACCAAAUUCACCAGCAAGUUGAGUGAGAGCCAGACGAAGUGCAGCAUCUUUCUCUUUCGCUUCACCAUGAUCAUGGCGUUGAUCACAUUCAAAAAAAUCUGAAAAGUUUGCUACAGAACAAAGAAGCCGGGCUUUGCUCCCAAUACAAGUGGCAGCAUCUAUUCUUCGGUUCUGGCAGAAAAUGAGGUCAUAAUAUCUGAGGGAGAGGAGGGCAGAGAGAGCAAAGGCGAAAUCUUGAGAAAGAAUUGAUAAGAAAAGAGUGAAGGAAUGGCACCAUUUCUUUGUGAUAAGGUUUAGAUUUUAUAAGGAAAUAAAUUUCAGAUAUUGAGUUUUGAAGAAGGCAUCGGCGCCAUCUCCUCUCUGUUCUCUGCUGCGAGGGAUUUCAGUUUUUA